GGAUGUGAGGGCGACCUGGCUGCGACAUCUGUCACCCCAUUGAUCGCCAGGGUUGAUUCGGCUGAUCUGGCUGGCUAAGCGCUCCAUGUGUGUCCUUCCCGAAGCUGCGCGCUCAGCUGAAGAGGACAGCUUUCCCCGAAUAGAGACAGACCAGUCUUCAGUCGAGGGUAUAUGAGUAGCUGCACUCCCCUGCUAGAACCUCCAAACAAGCUCCCAAAUAGUUUGAUACCUUGUGUUUUCAUUGAACUUGUGAAUCAUUUUGAUUCAUUCCUUAAU
rnacentral:snRNA from 1 species